CCUACGGGUGGCAGCAGUGGGGCAUCUUGGGCAAUGGAGGCAACUCUGACCCAGCAACGCCGCGUGAAUGAUGAAGGUCUUCGGAUUGUAAAGUUCUUUUCUAAGGGAAGAAGAAAGUGACGGUACCUUAGGAAUAAGCCUCGGCUCAAUACGUGCCAGCAGCCGCGGUAAUACGUAGGAGGCAAGCUUUAUCCGGAGGUACGGGGCGUAAAGGCUGCGUAGGUGGUUUGACAAGUUAGUAGCGCAACUCCGAGGCUGAACUUCUGAACUACUUCUAAAACUGUUGGAAUUGAGGGCAGGAGAGGCGAGUGGAACUCCGAGUGUAGCGGUGGAAUGCAGAGAUAU
rnacentral:rRNA from 1 species